UACGUAGGGUGCAAGCGUUGUCCGGAAUUAUUGGGCGUAAAGAGCUCGUAGGCGGCUCGUCGCGUCGGCUGUGAAAACCUGGGGCUCAACCCCGGGCCUGCAGCCGAUACGGGCGAGCUAGAAUUCGGUAGGGGAGACUGGAACUCCUGGUGUAGCGGUGAAAUGCGCAGAUAUCAGGAGGAACACCGGUGGCGAAGGCGGGUCUCUGGGCCGAUAUUGACGCUGAGGAGCGAAAGCGUGGGGAGCGAACAGG
rnacentral:rRNA from 1 species